rnacentral:lncRNA from 1 species
CUCUAACCGGGUUCAAAGGCAGUCUAUGGAUGACUUCCACUUUCUCAAGAAGUCUGCGGCUUUCCCCAAUUCCGAUCCUCAAUGCACCAGCGGUGGUGCUGUUGCUACUAAUUCAUCUUCUUCUUCUGUUAGUUUCUCAAGGCCACUCUGCCAGCCAACCAGAUUUGACAGCAAAACAACAAGGCAGAGAGUAUGACAAUCGUAACUAUGAUUAGCCCGCCCAUGUUUAUUAUUCUAUGUUUAACUGCUUAUUGUUCACAUUGACUUUGAAUUGGUUGACGAAAUUGUGAUGUGAUUGUUACUGUUAUAUCCAAUUCCCGUUUUCAAUCUCAUGUAUAUUCUUCAAAAAAAAAAUCCUUGCCUCAUAUUAACACAAAGAAACAUGAUAAGCUACCGCUAAUUAUUAUUUCACUUGGUAGGUAUUAUCACCAAACAAACUUGUAACAAAAACUGUCUUCGAACAAUGAAUUAUUAAAGAAAAGCAAUAAGAUUUACAUCCC